GACGAACGCUGGCGGCGUGCUUAACACAUGCAAGUCGAACGAUGAAGCGGGUGCUUGCACUCGUGGAUUAGUGGCGAACGGGCGAGUAACACGUGAGUAACCUGUCCUUUUCUUUGGGAUAACGGCUGGAAACGGCUGCUAAUACUGGAUAUUCAGGCUGCAUCGCAUGGUGUGGUUUGGAAAGGUUUUUUCUGGGAUUGGGUGGGCUCGCGGCCUAUCAGCUUGUUGGUGGGGUGAUGGCUUACCAAGGCUUUGACGGGUAGCCGGACUGAGAGGGUGGUCGGUCGCACUGCGACUGAGAUACGGCCCAGACUCCUACGGGAGGCAGCAGUGGGGAAUAUUGCACAAUGGACGAAAGUUUGAUGCAGCGACGCCGCGUGGAGGGUGUAGGCCUUCGGGUUGUGAACUCCUUUUUCUCGCGAAAAAGGCACAGUUUUGGCUGUGUUGAUGGUAGUGGGGGAAGAAGCGCCGGCUAACUACGUG
rnacentral:rRNA from 1 species